AACGAACGCUGGCGGCGUGCUUAACACAUGCAAGUCGAACGGAAAGGCCCUGCUUUUGUGGGGUGCUCGAUUGGCGAACGGGUGAGUAACACGUGAGUAACCUGCCCUUGUCUUUGGGAUAACUUCAGGAAACUUGGGCUAAUACCGGAUAGGAUCUCCUGCUGCAUGUUGGGGGUUGGUAAGUUUCGGCGGUUGUGGAUGGACUCGCGGCUUAUCAGCUUGUUUGUGGGGUAGUUGCUUACCAAGGGUUUGACGGGUAGCCGGCCUGAGAGGGUGACCGGCGACAUUGGGACUGAGAGACGGCGCAGACUCCUACGGGAGGCAGCAGUGGGGAAUAUUGCACAAUGGGCGGAAGCGUGAUGCAGCAACGCCGCGUGCGGGAUGACGGCCUUCGGGUUGUAAACAGAUUUCGAAUGUGACGAAGCGUGAGUGACGGUAAUGGGUAAAGAAGCACCGGCUAACUACGUG
rnacentral:rRNA from 1 species